rnacentral:rRNA from 1 species
CGCGUAGACGGUUUUGUAAGUCAGAUGUGAAAUCCCCGGACUCAACCUGGGAACUGCAUUUGAGACUGCAUGGCUAGAGUAUCGAAGAGGGAAGUGGAAUUUCCGGUGUAGCGGUGAAAUGCGUAGAUAUCGGAAGGAACACCAGUGGCGAAAGCGACUUCCUGGUCGAAUACUGACGUUCAUGUGCGAAAGCGUGGGGAGCAAACAGGAUUAGAUACCCUGGUAGUCCACGCCAUAAACGAUGACAACUAGAUGUUGGGAGGGUCUGCCUCUCGGUGUCGCAGCUAACGCGUUAAGUUGUCCGCCUGGGGAGUACGGCCGCAAGGUUGAA